UACGUAGGGUGCGAGCGUUAAUCGGAAUUACUGGGCGUAAAGCGUGCGCAGGCGGUUUUGCAAGCCGGAUGUGAAAUCCCCGGGCUCAACCUGGGGAUGGCAUUCGGGACUGCAAGGCUGGAGUGCGGCAGAGGAGACUGGAAUUCCUGGUGUAGCAGUGAAAUGCGUAGAUAUCAGGAGGAAUACCGAUGGCGAAGGCAGGUCUCUGGGCUGACACUGACGCUCAUGCACGAAAGCGUGGGGAGCAAACAGG
rnacentral:rRNA from 1 species